GACGAACGCUGGCGGCGUGCUUAACACAUGCAAGUCACGGGGGUCUCGCAAGAGAGAACCGGCGAACGGGUGCGUAACACGUGAACAACCUGCCGUUGUGAGGGGGAUAGCCGGGCUAACGCCCGGGUAAUACCGCAUACGCUGCCCGAGGGGAGUCCCUUGGGGAGGAAAGCCAUGGCGCAAGCGAUGGCGCACGACGAGGGGUUCNCGGCCUAUCAGCUAGUUGGGGG
rnacentral:rRNA from 1 species